rnacentral:rRNA from 1 species
GAUGAACGCUGGCGGCGUGCCUAAUACAUGCAAGUCGAGCGAACGGACGAGAAGCUUGCUUCUCUGAUGUUAGCGGCGGACGGGUGAGUAACACGUGGAUAACCUACCUAUAAGACUGGGAUAACUUCGGGAAACCGGAGCUAAUACCGGAUAAUAUUUUGAACCGCAUGGUUCAAAAGUGAAAGACGGUCUUGCUGUCACUUAUAGAUGGAUCCGCGCUGCAUUAGCUAGUUGGUAAGGUAACGGCUUACCAAGGCAACGAUGCAUAGCAGACCUGAGAGGGUGAUCGGCCACACUGGAACUGAGACACGGUCCAGACUCCUACGGGAGGCAGCAGUAGGGAAUCUUCCGCAAUGGGCGAAAGCCUGACGGAGCAACGCCGCGUGAGUGAUGAAGGUCUUCGGAUCGUAAAGCUCUGUUAUUAGGGAAGAACAUAUGUGUAAGUAACUGUGCACAUCUUGACGGUACCUAAUCAGAAAGCCACGGCUAACUACGUG